rnacentral:rRNA from 1 species
GUCGAACGAGAAAGUGGAGCAAUCCAUGAGUAAAGUGGCGCACGGGUGAGUAACACGUGACUAACCUACCCUGGAGUGGGGGAUAACUGAGGGAAACCUUAGCUAAUACCGCAUAACACCUACGGGUCAAAGGAGCAAUUCGCUUUAGGAGGGGGUCGCGGCAGAUUAGCUAGUUGGCGGGGUAAUGGCCCACCAAGGCAGUGAUCUGUAUCCGGCCUGAGAGGGCGCACGGACACACUGGAACUGAAACACGGUCCAGACUCCUACGGGAGGCAGCAGUGGGGAAUUUUGCGCAAUGGGGGAAACCCUGACGCAGCAACGCCGCGUGGAGGAUGAAGUCUCUUGGGACGUAAACUCCUUUCGAUUGGGAAGAUUAUGACGGUACCAAUAGAAGAAGCCCCGGCUAACUUCGUGCCAGCAGCCGCGGUAAUACGAGGGGGGCAAGCGUUGUUCGGAAUUAUUGGGCGUAAAGGGUGCGUAGGCGGUUUGGUAAGUCUUGUGUGAAAUCUUCGGGCUCAACUCGAAGUCUGCACGAGAAACUGCCGGGCUUGAGUGUGGGAGAGGUGAGUGGAAUUUCCGGUGUAGCGGUGAAAUGCGUAGAUAUCGGAAGGAACACCUGUGGCGAAAGCGGCUCACUGGACCAUAACUGACGCUGAUGCACGAAAGCUAGGGGAGCAAACAGGAUUAGAUACCCUGGUAGUCCUAGCCCUAAACGAUGAUCGCUUG